rnacentral:rRNA from 1 species
AUUGAACGCUGGCGGCAUGCCUUACACAUGCAAGUCGAACGGCAGCGCGGACUUCGGUCUGGCGGCGAGUGGCGAACGGGUGAGUAAUACAUCGGAACGUACCCUGUUGUGGGGGAUAACUAGUCGAAAGAUUAGCUAAUACCGCAUACGACCUGAGGGUGAAAGUGGGGACCGCAAGGCCUCACGCAGCAGGAGCGGCCGAUGUCUGAUUAGCUAGUUGGUGGGGUAAAGGCCCACCAAGGCGACGAUCAGUAGCUGGUCUGAGAGGACGAUCAGCCACACUGGGACUGAGACACGGCCCAGACUCCUACGGGAGGCAGCAGUGGGGAAUUUUGGACAAUGGGGGGCAACCCUGAUCCAGCAAUGCCGCGUGUGUGAAGAAGGCCUCGGUUGUAAG